rnacentral:rRNA from 1 species
UACGGAGGGGGCAAGCGUUGUUCGGAAUUACUGGGCGUAAAGGGCGCGCAGGCGGCUGCUCAAGUCAGGCGUGAAAGGCCUGGGCUCAACCCGGGAAUUGCGCUUGAGACUGGGCUGGCUUGAGUGCGGGAGAGGAUGGUGGAAUUCCCAGUGUAGAGGUGAAAUUCGUAGAUAUUCGGAGGAACACCAGUGGCGAAGGCGGCUCACUGGUCCGGUACUGACGCUGAGGUGCGAAAGCGUGGGGAGCAAACAGG